UCGUGUUAAGAUCAUUACUAGCCCAACGCCGUUGAUUCGAUGUCUCUCCAUACCAGACGUUUACUCUUGGAGGCGUGCUUGAUUCUCCUCUAGUGAAAAUCUUCAAUUUGGGACAACCAAUCACAGAUAGAUCUUGCAAAGAUGGGAAUUUGAAGGUGUAAUUGGCAGAGCAGAAACUUGUGAGGCUGUCUAAAUCACGCAGUUCCAACCUCUUCAAUUUGCGGAAAACAAUCUCUUCUUUUUCAACCCCGUCUUUGUCAUUUAUUACCACCUCUGUCAUUGCUCUGCAUCCGUAUACACAAAGUGAUACGAGUCGCACUAGAGUUUUUGCUGUGGAGGAUGUUACUAAGUGUAUCAAUUUCUUGCAAUCGAAAGCUACAAGUUUUGUUAGGUUCCCAAAAGAUACCGAUGAUGUUGGCAAUAGAAUUAACAGACUUUGACAAUGAUAUACUCUUAGAAUUUCAAGAUACUGAAAAAUGGGGCCAAAUUUGGAGUCUUGUUUGCACAGCUGCUUCAGAUGAUAGUGCCGGUACAGCUCUAAUUCUUUUAUCAUUGCCAACUUCCCCACAUGUUUCUCUAAGCAUCCUUCCAUCGAAAAUACCUCUUCGUGGAAUGAAAAAUAACACAGUACGAGCAUUUCGAGAUUGUGAAAUCUCUCCAGUACAUUCCAGAUUGGAAAACAAGCUGAGUCAUCAGCAGCAAUCCCUAGAUCUCUAAGACUGCCAAAAAGGUGUUGUGGGAAAUCGGCCUGCAAAAUCAUCUUCACGUCUUUUCCGCAUAGUGAUAGUUCCGUCAAGUUGGGUAAGAUCUGAUCAUCAUCAAUCAUAAUAACUAAUAAGGUCAAUUGAUGUUUUCUCAAAUGAUUUUGAGUAAUCCAAUCAUAAGCAGUGAGUUUAUAGUAUUUGUUUUAUAUUAUAUUUUAAAAAAAAUUGUAUUAUUGAUAAAAUUUAUUAAAUGAUUUUUUAUAUGUUAAUUUUAGAGGUAAAAAAGAAAUUAGGGAAAAAAGGUUGAUUUAUACUGACUCGAAAUUAUUUUAUUGCACAAUAAUAAAUUACUAAUUUAUUUUGUAAGUUCUUCUAUAUGGAAAGACUCAAGAUUCUUUUACAAAUGCUAUACCUAAAAAAGUUUAUAUAAUCAUUAAUCUACCACAUUGAUCCCUUAGUCUAGACUAGCAAAGAUUAUUGUAUAAUAAAAGUUUUCAAUUUAUUGAGCAUUAAUUUAUCAAAGUUAAAAAUAAGCUAUAGAUAAAAAAUCUAGAAAAUGGCUUCAUACCUUUUCCAACGGCAAUAGGGGCUGUUGUGCAGGAAUACCAAGUUGAUCAUUCCCAUUAUUCUGCGAUAAAUCUGCCGUGAAUAUCUUUAAUCUGUCACAACGAUACACUAAAAGAAUUUCUAGGGCGGGCCAUUCCGAAGUAUGCAUUCCAGGGUACAAACAUCUAAGUUUUGGUAGAUCAUGGAGUAUCAAAGUGGUGAGCUGUGGAAAGACAAAAUAAGGGAUCACUUGAUCUGCUCUGUUUUCAGAAAUGAUCUCCUGUAAAUCCUCACAGGAGCGUAUUUCUAGGCGUUGGAGCUGCUUAAGGCUUCCGAUCAUAGACGCUGAAAAUAUGUAUUUUAAUUUGUGACAACCCCACACAAUCAAUCGUGUUAAACUUUGAAAGUGAGGAAACACUGCAGCUGGAAUUUGAUUGUAGUGCCAAAUCUUGUCGACAUUAAUUUCAGAUAUCUCCAAAGCCUCCAAGUUAGGCAACGCAACCUAAAAAGAUAAGAAUUUCUUGUUGAAAAUUUCUCUUUGAUUACAAAUUAAUGCAAGUCAGAAUCAAUUUCCAACUGACAGCUGAGUAUGCAUUCUAAUUCAUACUACUUGUUAAGAGCUCAAUUAGUGAGUGCGUGAGAUUAUUUUUUUCCCCAUUGUUUUCAUUUUCUUUCAAUUCUCUAAAUGAUUUAAUUAUUUUCCACGUUUGACAUAAGAGAACGCAUGAUAGAAUAAACUCUGUUAUAUAUAUAUAUGAAUAAAAUGUUAGCCUACGCACCUUCUCAUUGAAAAGCAAAGUUGAAAUAUCCAAAGUGAUUUCGCUGGAGCAAUACAUAGUCGUCGAUUCCUCUUGCGACACUUGUCUGUUCGGUGAUGCUGAAGGAGUCUCCACCUCACGGCAAAAACUUGUAACCUCUGGAAGAUUCCCCAGACUCAAAGAUCUUAAUUGAGCAAACUCUAUCUUCUCAAUUGCAUUAUCAACUUCUUUCCCAAUUGCAAAAAUCUCUUUCAUCUUGCUGCAAUUAAUAACUGCAAUUCUCUCAAGUCUUGGAAGGCAUUUUGUAGUAGAGAGCCAAAAGAUAUUACUCAACUUAUCACAAUUAUAUACUUCUAUGUUUUUGAGUUCGUUGAAAGACUCUACUUUGAGCCGAUCAAUACAUAUCCUCUCCAUGUUGAUCAAAUUGUGAAGGGCAAGUGACUCCAAAAGAGGAAAGGCAUCACAAGCGACCAUCUCCCUUGAAUCGACGAUACAAAAGAAGUCAGGAUUAUUUUGAACCCAGAGGACCUUCAAUUGUGAAAAGCCCUCCGUGUCCAAAUUGAAAAGAACAUUCUCGAUGCCUUGCAGCUUGUCCAACCGUAAGUAUUGAACGUUAUUGAUGCCUUGCAAUUUCAUGGAGCAAAUGUCCAUAAAAUCAAGCUUGAGCUUCAAUGCUCUUGAAAUCUUGCGAUUACUGUCGAUCAAAAAGUGCAGCUGACUUUUAAACCAAUGUUGUCCAAAAAGCAUGGGAUGCAUGAAUAACCCAUUUCCAAUAUGUAUUUUGAACCUUUCGAGCUUUCUGGCCAAAAAGCCUUCUGGUAACAUACUCUCAUUUUUAACAUCAAUUUCUAGAGUAGUUAGCCGAGGUAAAUGCAUCAAUUCGUCAAGGCUAGCAUUACUUCUUUUGCUGUUGGCUCUUUCAACCUCCCAUUCAAUGAAGCAAUUACCCAUAUACAAUUCUUCUAAUCGGAUUAAGCUUGAUAUGACAUUUGGGGCAAUAACUUUCAGACGGAAACAGUGUUAAAUCUAACAGCCUUAGCUUAGUCAGUUGACCCAGUGCUUUAGGCAACUCUACAAUAUCAGAUUGCAAAAAGCUAAGGAUUUCUAGAUUUUCCAACUUUCCAAUAAUGGCUAUGUCUAUGCCUCCGAAAAUGCUUUGAUUAAGACAAAGUGUCUGAAGAUUUACUAGAAGACCAAUUGAAGAUGGCAAUGACAAUAACCGCAUUCUAGUCAAAUCCAAAACCCGAAGCUUUUUCGUCCUUUUGAAGAAGUUCUCGGGAAUAUUAGGCACAGCAAAAGAGUUCUUGGGAGACAUGAAUAGAAGUUCAAGUUGUAGAGAUUCCGACCCUUCAGGAAUGUCAUUAACAAUACUAUCUUUAAAAGAAAUUGCAAAAUAUUUUUUAAUUCAUCUGCAUUUGGCCAUUUCCAAUCAUCCUCAUUUCUCACCACAAAUGCAUUCAUGUCACGAAAUGCAAUUGAAAUGGCAACAUCGCGAACAACAUCGUGCAUAGAAAUGUAUUUACUGCCACCAUCCUCAAGCAACAAACAAGAGUCUCUUAGUUGAUGGACCCAUGCAUGUAAUUUGUUAUGUGCAUCUUCUAGCUUAUGGACACUUUUAAAUACACCCAAGCCCAUGCUGUAUUUGAACAAAUCCAUAAUUGGUGCUGGCGUAAUAAGACUACACAGUAAAAAAGUUUUCUUGAGUUGCUCACCUCUUAAGUACUUGUAACUCAGCUCAAUUGUUGAGUAUGCCUCUGCUGGUACUCCUUCGUCGAAGCUUGCCUCUGAAGGCGUUUGGAGUUCUUGCAAGGCAUUCUUCCACACAGGCAGCUCUUUUUUUCUCAGUGCCUUUGCUACUGUGGUUAGGGCAAUAGGCAAACCUCCGCAUGCCUUGGCUACACUUGUUGCUGUAGAUUUUAACUCACGAUUUUCAACAUAAUCACCAGCCAUUAUCUUGAACAAUCUCCAGGCUUCUUGUUCAUUUAAAAUGCCAAUCGAGAAGUUUUUUUCAGAUCCCAUCCUUAACAGCACAUCAAGAUCUCUUGUUGUGAAUAAUAAUUUACAUCCUCUGUGCUCAACUCCAAAAGGAAUGCCAAUAGUCCCCAAAUCAAGAGGAUUCCAGAUGUUAUCGAGAAUCACAAGGAUCUUCUUCUCAUUCUUCAAUCUUUCAUAUAGUCUACUAGCUCUUCUAGACUCAGCUUCCUCGGACAACUCUAGGCCUAACGUUUCCGCAAUUUCCUCUUGGAUCUUUCUUAUGUCUGGACAUUGGGUAACCUCCGAAAAAACCACCAUAUCGUAAAGCUUGUCUUCAAUGGCUCGCCUUGCAAACUCCUUCACCAGUGUCGUCUUUCCAAUGCCGCCCAUGCCGUACACCCCAAUGAUGCUGACAUCAACAUCGAUCAAUGCAUUUUGUAUGGCCUUCAAAGUAGAAAGUCUUGAUUCGAAGGCUUCGUAGCCUUUGUGAGACUUGAGCCAUAUAUCCUCCGGAAUGGUACGGUAGGAAAUUCCAUCAACAAAUCUCCCAGCUUCUUCUCGGAGUUUAACAAUGGCCUUCACCUUUGUUUCUGCUUUCUUGCUAAGCUGAUAGCGGGUCUUCAAAUUAGGACACAAGCCCAUGAGACAUCGUUUAUUUGUUGUCUUCUCAUCAUCAAUGAAUUUGGCUGCCUGCUCAAUGAUGAUGUUCGCACUAACCAGCCACUUCUCAACCUUCUCUUCAAUAUUUUCCCCUUUUCUUUCAGCCUCAGAAACCCUGUGCUGAAUGCUUCUCCUUUCAUCCUUGAGCUUGUCUAUUUCUGCCUUGAGUUUCUCAACGUUGGCUUUAUAGUUACGCAAAUAACCAAGUCGGCGUUCUGUUGGAGGAGCCAAGCAUUUCACAAAUUCUAAAACAAUAGUAACAAUGCUUUCCACCAUCCUGGAUCCCUUUUCUUUUUUUCGAAGUUUCUGACAAGAAAAUAAACAAUGAGCGAAACACAGAGAGAGUGAGGAGAAAAAGAAAAAGAAACGCAAAGAUGGACAGUUUAUCUGGUUGUGGAAGCGGAGAAAUGAAAGAAAUCGUAAUAGCUGUUAUGGAUCUGCUGAGAAGAUGGAAACAAGGAAAAGGUUUCUAGUUCAACAACUGGAUUGCGAGCGGAGAGACUAAUUAACAAAGACUGGAGAUUACAACAAAGCAGAUGCCAAGAGAAAAGUUGAUCCAGUGAAAUUCAAGAGAGUUGACAGCAAAAGGGAGCAAAGAUUAAUAACAAAACAGCAGUGACUACAAUGAACAAAAGCAUAUGCGUUUCUUGAUUGAGAAUGAGUGCAAAGAAUGAUCCUUAAUCAAUAAAAUAUCUAACAAUAUCUUCACCGAAAGUUUGAGACAUGUGAUCCUUAUUCCACUUCGUCAAUUACACUCCAGACCAAUGCUGCCGUCAUUAUCGAACGGUCGAUAUCCAACACUUGCACGAAGAUUCCAAGAAGUUGCGUGGCUGCCGACUUUUAGAUGCAAAGCCUCAUUGUGUCGAUGUUACACGAAAGAGAGCAGUCCGGGUAAUUGCCAAAACUUAGAACUAAACAGUAGCUUAGUCAGAAAAUCAAACGCCAGUACCGGUAAAAUGACCGAUAAAAAUAUAAAAAAACAAAAAUUUUAAAGUUUUACUUCAUUGCUUUUUUAAUCUUAUUACUAUUUCUCCUUGCACUUCUAAAGAAACCAAAGCUUUAAAAGAAAUCAGCCAAAUCACGAAGAUUGAAAACUAAAUCUAUGGUUUUAGAUUUUUAUUUUAUUUUUUUAGAUAAUAGAUAUUGUUGAGUAAUGAAAAGUACCAGCUCAGCUAUCCCCGCUUCCCUCACCUUGGGGCGAAUCUCCCCAGAUGAAUGGCACAAGCAGAUUCCUGGUAAUACAUCCUGUACGGGGCAUAUGCCAACUAGAAACGAGUACCGACCAGAUGUACAUACCGACCAAGUACUCAUUAUUCAAAGAAAGAGGACACGAACUCACAAACUCACGACAAUUUUGUUAUGCCCCAAACCGUUGGGGAGAACAUGACGCCCCACGUUUACCCACGAUUCGGUGGUUGGAGACCCAUGAAGGUUUGUCAUCACCCGAAAAUGAGGGGCAUGAAUAAGACUCAGAAAACAGGGGAUGAUUGCCUAUAAAAGGCCAAGAAAUCGAUGAAAAAUGGGAGACACAAAUUGAGAGUAAAGGGGAAACUCUGUCAAAUUAUAAUCAGAAAUUCAUAUAUCCAAAUCCUUGAUACAUUUGGUAUUGAGAAUAUUGCAACUAAUAUGUACAACACAAAUCAUUCACUUUUCUCGUAAACACCUUGUACUAACUUAAGUAUCGAAGGGUUUAUGCCCAAAAAACCAUCGGCGUCUCUGAUUUGUUUCUGUGAACGCAGGCCUGGAAGGAAGAAGACGGGUGAUUUGGGUCCCAGAAGCUCGGGAAAUUGCUGAAGCUAAUGGAUCGCAGCCUCUGUUCCUUUGCCAAUACAAGCGUUGGUGAACCAAUCUGGUCGGUCCAAAGGCGACUAGAUUUCAGCAUCAACAGAUAUUAUUUUGAUGAAUUUUUUAAUAUUAGAAUAAUGUUAGGAAUUCCAAUAAUAAAAUUCUAACUUGAGACCCAAUUGUUAUGUGUUAUUUUUUUAUUGAAUAAUGAAUUUCACAACUAAUAAAAUUUAUAUUUCCAUCAUCUAAUAAAUGACUACCAUAUCAGUUGGGACUCAAUUAUUAGGAUCCUUAACAUUGCUCUUAGUAUUAAAUUGGACAUCUUAGCUAAAUCAGAUUAAAAAUCAAAUUAGUUUUUAGGCUUUUAUUCAACAUCUCUUUUUUUUUUUUUUUUGUCUAUUGGAAGUGAACGAAAUAAAAAUACAACAGGGUCAACGACUGGGCAAUUGGUAGUCAAGUAGAAGCAAAUCAAGGCUAAAUGGGAAAGAGAAAUGAUAUUUGUGCAAAAUAAGGAGAAAAUCAGUGUAACAGAAGAGAAUCAAAGUGCUUUUGAGAUAAAAAAUUGAAACAAGAAAAGGGUCGCUUGAUCCAAUGAAAAUGCAAAGAGCUGAUGGCAAAAGGGAACAAAGUUAAAUAAGAAAACAGCUAGCGCUAGCAGCGACCACAAUAAACAGAAAAUUUGAGAUGGAUUUACAAUAUUUCUGCCUUUCUUUAUGCUUUAAAAAAUAUUGCUCUAUCAAAAAAAAUAUUGAACAUUUUUAUUAUUGGAGUCACAAAUGACCUACACAAUAUAGCAAGUGACUAGGAAUAAAUAAGAAUAUAUAACUCUCUCUAAUUCUCACUCUGGCUUUUAAUUGUCACUCAAAACCCAGAAUUCAUCCUUAAAGUGUAGGCAAAUCAAGGAUGACACCGUUUGGUUGUCAUACGUGCCUUUUAGUUUUCGGAUGACAUGGCGUACACUUCUUCUGUAAACCCAACAAGACAUGUCGUACUCUUUUGUUUUGAGAUUCUAUUUCAAACUUUUCAUGCUAUGAAUGAAAGAUAAACUCCAAUCAUCAAAAUAUUUAGUGUUUGUUUGGUAAUGUAAUGUCAUAGUUGUGAAUUGAAAUUAUUUCUAUAAAAUAAAAGGAUUUGGGUCAUUGUUUGUUAUUUUCUGACAACAUUUAUUAAAUAUUAAAAAAUAAAUUUAUAUUUAUUAGGUAUUAAAAAUAAAUAAACAAACAAAAAUAAAAGUAAAAGUUUAUACAUUACGUAAAAUAAUGACAAUAUCAAUAUUUCGCACUCUAUAAUUGAGUGAUGUGUUGUCCAACUGGCAUACAUUGGUCCCAAACGGAGACUUAAAUAUCAAAGUCCAAAGUUAUUAUGAUGAUGACUUAUAAUCGCCAAACUUGACAUACGGGUAAUCAUGCAUUAUAAGGUGCUAAUUUCUUCCGAUCGGAACCUUAUUUUUCAUUUACAAAUAAAUAAAUGAUGUGACUUCACGGUUGGCGGGGUCCUUUGUGUCAUUUGGGCAUUUCACUAAAUGAUUGAUUGUAGCAGGAAGAUUCCUGGAAGUUGCCAUUUGCCAAUGCUACUAACAUUUUCAAACUUGGAAAACCCUUCAAUCAAUCUUUUAGUGGUAGGCUCUGGUAACUUGGUUUGAUUAUGACGUAUAAUUAUUUGAUAAUAAAGUUAGAGGAUGUAUUAAUAUAAAAUUUGUUUAUUGGUGUUGAAGUUAAUUAUCUCAUUAAUAAUAGUAUAAAAAGUUAAUUACUAAGAAACACAUAGCAAUAGUUAAUUGGUGUCAUAUUAUUGGGAUUCUGGGAUACAAUUUUAUAUCAUAACUUUGUAAGUGUAUACUUACUCAUCAAACUAAUAAAAUUAUUUAAAAAUUUCAGUUGGAAAAAAUAAAUUAUAUUAUUUUCAUUUCAAAUAAUCUAUAAGUUAACUCAAAACAUAAUCAAGCUGAGAAUUAAAAUAAUGCUACUGUAUGAGAGGAUUUUUAUUUUUUCCCGAAGUUUCACUAGGAAAUUAUUGAUACAUAGCUUUAUUCGGAUCAUCUCAGUUCAAACGACAAAUAAUUGAAAGACUAAGCUAAAUAGACCAGCCAACAACUUUGUACAAGAGAGUUCAAAAAUUAAGGUCAUGGUAUUAAGGUGUUCUAUCUUGAAAAGUAUAGAGUAGUAAUAAAAUAAAAACUAAUAGUUUUUGGUAAGAUAUGACAUUUAAAUAAUAAUUUUCACAAAAAUACAAGGAAUAUUUAUAAAUUACUUUUAUAGUGAGGGGACCCUCACUCUGUUAAAGUGAAAAUAUCAAUAAUAUACAAAAGACAUAUAUUUUAACACAUUAAAAAUUGUAUUUUUUUUAUCUAUUGGUGUAUUGAAAUAUGUGUUAUUUAGUUUGUUAGUGAUAUCAUUACUUUGUUAAAAUGAGAAUGUCGUUACUAGAGAAUCAUUAUGUAUACAUAUAUAAAGUGCUUCUGUCCAAGACCUAGACUUUAUUAAAAUUUGAGAAAGCAAAUAUAUUUUAUAUGGUAUAAUAGUGUAAUAACAUCACACUAUUAUAUCAUAUAGAGUAAUAGUUUUUCGAACUUUAAUAAAAUUCAAGAUUAUAGAAUGAAUGAUUUUUAUAUAUUAUAAAUUUUUUUAUCAUAAAUGGAGGACAAAAUUAACAUAUUUUCAAAUUAUAAUAAGCAUUUAUCAAAUAAUUUAACAUUGCAAUUUCUCCUAACUAGUAUAGUAAAUAAUACGACCUAGGAGAUACAUUCAAAGCAUUUCAUAAGUUAGUUGUUAAUAAUAAAUUAUAUAUGCAGCUCCAAUCAUCAUUGUACGGUGAGUAAUUUCCAGUUAUAAAUAGAUAUUACUCCCUUCCCAGCAAUUUUUGAUGACUUAAUUUAGUGGGAUCAAAAUCAACAUUGAAUUUUUGACCAGCUGCCAACAACUUGUGAGCAGUUCACAGUGGGUACUGCACAUGAUGCCUGUUUCUCCUUUUGCAUCUAUUUUUGUUGUUAACAUUAAUUUCAAUAGCAGCUCGUUAAUCCCAUUUGUUGAUUUGGGACUAGAUAAGAAUUUAUCUUGGAACUCCAAUUCUCCAAUUAUUUUAGUUGACAAUAUAUUUAACAUUAUUAAUUGCAUAUUAUUUAAUUAUCAGUAUAUAAUAUUCUUUAAUUUUCUAAUUUUAUAGGAUUAGACACAAAAUUGAUUAUGCCUUUUGAAAUUUAAGGGUUAUGUCAAUUGAAUAGAAAACUUGGAGGUAAACUUGUGGAUGUUUUUGUUGAUUAUCAAUUUAUGCAUGAAUUUUUGUACGUUUACUUUGGUUUAUAAUUAUUACUUUUAAACAUUUUUAUUGGUUUGAUUUAGGGUCAAUUUGGUAAUCCUGUAGCUUUUAAAAUAAUUACAAUUAGCUAUGCUGUAGAAAUUGAUCAAUCGUCAAGAGAAUCAGCUGAGCAUUUAGUAAAAUUUAUUUUUAAAAGUACUUUUAGUUUUAAAAGCGUUGUAUGAAUAAAACUGUUACACUAAAAAUUAAAUGUAUUGCCCACUUGGGUAAAUAAAGCUAUAUAUUACAACUGUUACACUAAAAAUUAAAUGUAUCUUAAACCCAAACUUCUUCUUCUUCUUUUUUUGACUAACAAAAUUAAAAACAAUAGUGAACACAUUCUUUAAUAAACAAUAAGUAAUAAAUAAAAUCGUGUUAAAUUUCUUAAAAACUUUCUUUCACGGUUUGCUAAAUAUUUUUAUUAGUAUUUUAAAUAAAUAAAAAUAGUUGAUUUAAUUUUUUUAAAUAAACUUAUUAGGUUCAUGUAAAGAUGUUUUUGUUAUUUUAAAAAGUGUAGAAAGUACUCCUAAAAAAAAGCGUAGAAAGUAAAACUUAAUUUUUUAAAUUUAUUAGCUGAGUGCAUAAAUAAUUGAGUGUUCAUAAUGAUUUUUAAAGUAUAGAUAGUCGGACCCUAAUAUUUUUAAUAAAUGGAAAUUUUGCUAAUAUGUUAAUGAGAAUUAAAAAGAUAAUUAAGGGAGGCAAUCGAGACAUUCAGGAUAGUUAGGAUGGGACAUGAUUGUGAGCGGUUAGAUAUUGGUCCUAAUUUUGAUCACAAAUAUAUAAACAGGACGAGUUUAUCUCUACUUACAUUCCAUUUGAUAAUUAAGAUGAGAGUGGAAUUGUCAAAUCCCAAAUCAUCCCGGACCACUGCCACCAAGGGUACUCUCACUAAUAAUAUCUAAAGAAAAAUCUACAUCUAUUUCAUACUUUUUUUUAAUGGAAAGAGCCCUCAUGGGGCUUGAAAUGGUAUCCUAAAUAAUAUUGAGAAUAUCAGGUCAUGAUUGGGUUUGUGACAAACAAAUACUACAUAGUUGGGAUACGUAGUUAUAAUGUCCCAAUUUAUGUAGUAUCUAUCAUUUAGCGCACAUAUAAAAUAUUAAUCAGCUUAAUUAAUUUAUAAAAUUUAAAUCUAAUUAAUAAGUGAUACAUAAAUGCCAAGUGCAAUACUGUAUAUGCAAAUCAUGUUUGUGGAUCAUUACAAAAUUGGCUCUUGAAAACAAGCAAGAAAGCUUAAUUAAGAACUUAAAACAAAAGAAUUAGAUUGAGAACAGUCAAGCCUUAUUUUUUCAAGGAUGGAGCUUAUAAAUCUUCAAGUACCAACAUACGCUUGGCCCAAUUGUUGUUAUUAAAAUUUCAAUAUACAUAUAUAAGUAUGAUAUAGCAAAAAUUUGAUGGUACAUAUGUCGGAAUAUACUAGUUCAUGGGUGCAUUUGAUUAUUGUUUCCAUAAAUUUGAACCAGGAAGGACGACACGAUAAAAUUUGAUUUUAUGGUAUGGUUGAUUUCAUAGCUCAUGCACUCAUUUCUUAAGAUAAUCAAAUUUUCUCUGACAUCUUUUUCAACUGUCGAAAUAUCAAUUAUGAUCAAUCAAAACGAUUUCAAAACCUUUCAACGAGACAUAUUUCUAAUACAAUAUUGUGAAAAUUACACUAAAAAAUUAAUUUAUUAUAUAUUAUUAUCCAACGAGCACACAAAAAUGAUUUCGUACAAAUCUAAAAUACUAAGCAAUUUUCAAAUAGAAUUUACCAUGUACUACAAGAAAAUAGGGUAUAUGUGACCCCUACUGUGAAUGCAAAAGCAGCCAUUACGCAUAACCCCGAGUUGCUUUUGUUACCCUUUAUGUGACGGCCACACUGCUGUCACAUAUGUUACGAACCGCGUGACGGUGAAGAGCCGUUCGGUAUACUAAUAUUUUAGAAUUUUAAAUUUAUUUCCAGUUAGAAAACUAUUCGCUGGACUCCGUGUUGCUGGCCACCAUCGUAAACAUAACUGGUUGCCAGCGAACGGCGUAAAACGCCGGCCAUCUUCUUCUUCAACGUAUUCUCCCUUCAUCUUUUGAGGUAAGCUUGUGAUUAUGAGUUUCUUCUCUUACUUAGCUUGUAAUUAUAGAUUUUGAUUUUUUUUAAUUCGUAUUGUAGCCGUUAUUGUCAAUUUUUGUCCCGCCAGCAAUAUUUUUUUAUUCCUACAAGUUGAACCCCUGUGUUCUUGUUCCAUUGGUGAGUUUGCUCACUCAAAUUAAUUUUGUUCUGCGGAAUUUACAAAGUUCAAAUGGAUUCAUUUGAAUUACUAUUGAAUUUAGCUUUAAUUCCAACAUCCAUUCUAAUGUUUUGCAAUUAGAUUUAAUUUAAUUUUAUGUUUAAAGCUUCUACAAUGAAUAGCGGAGCUUGGGUUUUAGUUUCAUUUUCUGGAUAACUUGUUUUAGUUUAUCUUGUAUGCUCACCAAAUGCUUGUUAUAUUGUCUGAUAAGUUAUAUACAUUGCUGAUUCUACAUUAAUAAUGUUACGUUGUAUUUUCAGAAAUUAUAAUACAAAAGUUUUUGCAAUGGCGUGCAUCUACAAACUGAAUUGACUUGUAGAAUAAGAGCUCGGAGUAGUGUUAUGUUCUUGAAUAAUUGAAAGUUCAUAUUGUGUAAGAGCAUGUAGAUGUAAAGCAUCAUUACCAUUUCUACAAAGUGCUUUCAUUCUGUUCAUAUGCUCUUCUUGAACUUUGAAAGGUGCCUCGUUCAAGUCCUAGCUAUAACUACUAGCUUUGAUUAAUUAAGUUCCUAUACUAGCUGAAACAGAUUUAUUUAAUUAAUUAAUUGUGUAUGUACUAAUUAUAUUGAAAGUAUAUGAAUUUUUUUUUUAACAUGAAUGACUUCUAAAUGACUUAAAAACCUAAAGGAUGUGUGAAACAAUGCUCAUUUCAUUUGAAUGAGCCCAUUAAUACUUUUAUGUCUAUGAUUUUCAAUAUUGGCUAAAGCAUUUCAGUUAAGUGGUUUACCUAACAGAGAAAAAAAUUUAAUAGAAAACUUCAGAGUUCUAACAGAAAUAUAGUUCACUAUGCAGAUAUAGUUAUUUUACGGUAUACAAAUCAAGUUGUCCUAAUCUCAAUGUCCUAUGACCGAUUUUAUUUUAUAUAGUCAUUAAUUUUUUCCUUGGUUUUUUGUGUUUAUGAGUAUGAAAUAGUGGGAUUUGGUGUACCUUAGCAUCUUUUGAAAAUUCUCUUUCAGUGUGGCCAACAGAAAUAUACAUAUAAUCAAGUUUCUUAAUCGUGUAUAUUAGUUUUGGGUAUGAAUGUUCCUAUUCUAGUUCGAGGCAAAGCUUCUUCGUUUUGGUCUUCAGAUUUCCAGUAGGUUAAGUUAAUCAACUAUCAUAACUGGCUAGCUAGUUAUUGUCUGCCUUGGCGCCAUUACCCAGGCCAUUAUAUUGCAUAGCAUAAGGAAUAGUGAUUAGGGGAUUAUUAGUGAUUUGUUGAGCUUAUUAUCGACCAAACAAACAUAUUCGCCUUUGCCCACAACUUAGUUUGAUUAGUUAUUAGACCAUAAAGAGCCUUGAUCUAUUCAUUGGCUUUAUUAUUUUUAUUUGGUUUUUCUUUCAACAAUAUUGUUGAUUUCUUAUAAAAAUAUUCAUUGGUUUUUAAACACCUAAUCAUUGGCUAUAUGAAGCUAAUUAAAACUGAGGCUUUGGAUCAAUUUCUUCUAACAAGAUACAAAUGAGCAUUAACCUAUCUCCUAUGAGUAAAUUUUUUUAAUAUCCUUGAUUUGUAAGGAUCUGGAGGCCUGAAAUCCUCUAGAUUUUUUUUAACACUGUCAAUGUUCUUUUUAUUCUGAGAAGGAAAUAAAAGGUUUUAUCUUUCAUACCCAAAUAGUAAGCUGGCCUUGUCUUAACAUGGCCUCCCGAGGACUUGCAAGAUUCAUAGUGCCCCCCACCCCAAAAAAUAAAAAUAAAAAACACAAAUAGGAAGAUUUUGCAAGAUUCACCACCAGGUUUUUUUUAAUUUGUUAAUUGUGUGUACGUGCUAGUUAUAUGUUGAAAGAAUAGGAAGAAGUAUUUCAACAUGAAUGACUUAAAACUUAUUGCUCAGUAAACAUAAUCUGCAUGUAUUUAUCGUUUGUAUUUUUUAUGGUUUUGCUAAAGAAAUGAUAUGUGAAAUAAUGCUACAUUGCAUCAGGAAUAAAUUGAAGAGAUUUAUGAUAUUUAUGUGUUAUUCAAAUUUCAGAUUCAAUUUUAAACUUUUGAUACGUGCAUUGAAAGCUUAGACUUGUUUAAGAAAUUAUUAAUAGACACAUGUUUUUAUUAGUGUCAUCUUUGGAUGAUAGUGAGGAUCAUAUGUCUAUUAAUAAUUCUUGAAUUGUCCAGGCUUGGACAGUUUGGGAAUGCAUAGUUCACUCUGGUAGCUAGUAGCUGAAGUUUUUUCCCACGUAAAAAUGGGUUUUUCAGUAGCUGCUCCUCGUGUUCUCUGGGUACGUACUAGGUGAAUGGGUGUCAUGUGUUGUUUUGGCAUAACGCAUAAACACUUAUAUAGCUAUGUCGUGUGCUUGGAGAAUUAUAGGGAGAUGGUGCCGAAAUUUUUAUAAACGUGGAAGAAAACUUUAGGUACUUGAGAUUGAAGAAACUUAUGCAUUCUUGAGUGGGAUAUGUAGGAUUACUUACCUUUUGUAAAUAUGAAGGGAAUGUUGGAUAUAUUGGGGAUAGUGUAGGAGCUGAGUUGGAUGAAUGUAAUUGGUGAUGAUUUUGCUGAGCUGACCUUGGUUUUGAGCUUGUAAUUUUGUUUGUAAAUGGAGUGCUAUCUCCAAUGUUGGUUUAUAAAUAUGUUUCAGGACUUGCUGACCUAAUUUUUUGUUUCUAGGUUACAGGCUUUAUAUAUCUGUAAUUGAUGGCGAAGUGAAGUUCCCAGAACUUGGCGAGGAUGUUUCUUUACAGAAGGUAUUGGAAACUGUUUUUUACAUUAAUUAUUGUUGUAUAUAUACUUUGAUUUUCACAUCUUUUUCUCUGAUUCUUGUGGCUUUGCUUGCUUUCAUAUAUGUAAAUUCUAAUGAAAUUAACCAUAAAAUUGUAAAAUGAUCUUUUUAUUAUAUUGCAAAACUGUGCACACACGAAAAUAUAUUGUUUAGUAGUAGAAAUGAAGAACUAAAAUGAUUUACUUAACUAAUUUUUGUAGCGCAUUAAAAGGAGAUAGUCAUGGACAUGUGUUGGGUUGGUUUGCCAAAUAGAUAUCCAAGUCAUAUACUGAUGGGGAUGAAAAAUUUAUAGAUUUUGCAUUUGAGAAUGUUGUUGGUGGUACAAGAAUUUAAUGUCCUUUUAAGAAGUGUUGUAAUCUAUAUUUCGUUAUAAGGAAAGUGGCUGAUGAUGAUAUGGUUGGAAUGAUACAAUGCAUCACGUAAUCAAAUGUUCAAGUUACACGGAGCAUUGUUAUGGACUAUCAGUGACUUUCUAGCAUUGCCAACUUGUCUGGGUGGAGUAUUAAAGGUAAAUAAGCAUGUCUUGUUUGCCAACAAAACACUAGAUCUAAUUGGUUGAUACAUAGUAGAAAAUUUUGUCACGUGGGUCACCGUCGAUUUUUACCAACAAAUCAUAGGUUUCGAAAAUAUAGUGUCUUUUGAUAAAACUAGAGAGUAGGGACCAGCACAUUCUCGGUUGUCUGGAUCUGAAGUGAAAAAGCAGUUUAAUAUACUUACUGAGUAUAAGAUUGAAGACUUGAAAAUAGGAGAAUGAAUAAAAUGAGAGAAAUGAUAAGAUUACUUGGAAGAAGAAAAGCAUAUUUUAUGAACUACCGUGUUGGGAGUUCAAUUUGAUUCAUCAUAAUCUUGAUCUCAUGGGCUGUUUUGAUUUUUGUUAUGAACUCAGAUCAAAAGUUUAAUGUGAUCAAAAUUUCUUAAAAAUAGUGAAAACGACUCCUAAUAAUAUGGAAGAUGGCUAUAAAAGAUAAAAGGAAAGGCUUAAAAAGAAAAGCCAUGCCUGUCCAAAAAAAAAAAAAAUCAACAAAAAUCAAAACGGUGCGUUUGAGAGUGUAUAAAAUACAUUUAGAGUGGGAGUUGUGUUGUUGCUUGAAGGCAGAAAGAUAUUUGUCGACGAAGCCAAAACCAAAGAUGAAGCCCAUAAAGCUCAAAACUCCACCGGAGCAAAUUCAGACAAUUACGAGGGUUAUGUUUGACAUAGUCAAGGAAGACGGUCCUCUCACCGUUGCCGAAACUUGGGAACGCGUCAAGGUGUGUGUAUCUGUUAAAUUGAAUUUCAACCGUUUGAUCUGUAAUUAUAAUUAAUCCAAUCGAUCUGACAGUGAUCACUGACCAUAAUACUAGUAGUUGUUUUACAUUUUCAGCAGGCUAGAGCGGGUGGAUUGACGGGCAAAAGCUCAGGCUCGUCUGCAAUCACAUGGGCCCUCAUAAGCAAAUCCUGUACACAACUUGGUUCACUAAACCCAACAACUUGAAGCAGCCAAAAUCAGGGAAUGAUCCUUCUCCGUCACAACCCUAGCUGCCUUAACCUUGUAGUGACACGGUGAAGAUGGAAGCCCCUCAGCAUGUAAACUUUUCAACAGCGACAGAGCUCUUAUUCCAGAGGCUGCACAGAAGAGCGACCUGAAUCCUCUUCAAAACUUUCAAAUUUUUAUCAAGUAAAGCUUUCAAAAUUUCUCAACAAACUGAUUAUUUGGUGUGGUUGCCACAUUUUGUGCAACUGCUAUUCGUCUUCAAGUACAAAUUCCUUGCCUUCUAAGUUAGGGAACAUAGAUGUGGAGCAAACAGGGAAAUAGAUGUGGAGCAAACAGGGAAACAGCAAUGAUGGCAAUUAACAAACUAAUAGCAGUAUUACAUUUGAUUCUUUAGCCCAAUUUUGUUCCUUCUGUCAGCCAUUCUUCAAAAGUUUUUGAAAAUUAGAUGUGAAGCAAAAAAAAAACAAAUUUAGACAACAGAAGCCCUGUGCUCAACAUCAUAUAUAUACCUUGAAUACCUAAUAUACUAAAUUUCACAUAUAAAAUACUAGAGAUUUCAAACAGUACCAGCAAUAGAAUAAUGACAACGACAACAAUAACAGAAAAUUACAAGAUUGCUGACAAAAUUUAUGUGAUUUACUGUGCCUUUAUGCAUGCAAAAUGAAACUGAAGAUAAAAAAUUUAGGGAAAAGGACACAGAGACCCCCAACGUUUGAAUAAGGGACACAAAAUCCCUUAAUGUUUCAAAAAAGACACUCAGACCCCCAUUUGUUAACAUUAAAUUAUAAUUUUACCAUUGUACCCUUAUAGCAUAUUAAAAAAUAAUUAUUCAUUAUCCAAUUUAUUUCUAUAUUAUUAAUAAAAUUACGAAUAUAACUUCAUUACUCAAUUUUUCCAUUUAAUUUUUAUCAAAUUUUAUCUUCAAACUAAAUAAAUUUAAUCCAUUGCUCAAAAAUAAAAAUAAAUUAAAUUGAUUAUUAAUAUAAUAAAAAUAACAAUUCUCCAUAUGUUAUUUCUUAUAAUUUCUUAUAUAUAAAUUAAAUUGAUAAUUUCUUAAAAAUAACAAUUCUCCAUAUAUAAAUUAAAUUUAUUUUAAUUUAAUAUAUGUUAUUUUUAUAUUAAAUAUAUGUUAUUUUUAUUAUAUUAGUAAUCAAUUUAAUUUAUUUUUAUUCUUGAGUAAUGGAUUAAAUUUAUUUAGUUUGAAGAGAAAAUUUGACAAAAAUUAAAUGGAAAAAUUGGAUAAUGAAGUUAUAUUCGUAAUUUUAUUAAUAAUAUAGGAAUAAAUUGAACAAUGAACAAUUAUUUUUUAAUAUGCUAUGAGGGUAUAAUGGUAAAAUUAUAAUUUACUGUUAACAAAUGGGGGUCUCAGUGUUUUUUUUGAAACAUUAGGGGUUUUGUGUCCCUUAUUCAAACGUUGGGGGUCUCUGUGUCCUUUUCCCAAAAAUUUAUAAACUAGAAAUUUAUAAUAAUCUAACUUAUUCUCGUUACUAUUAAAAAAUAAGUAAACAUAUCAAUAACAAUAUAGUUUAUUAUGAUUAUAAUUCAUUCAAUUAAAAUAAAUAAUUUAUUCUUAUUUCUAUUCUCUAUUCUAAUUUCAGUAAAUUUUGAUUUUAGUUUAUUUUAAUUAUUGAUUAGUUGUAAACUUAACUGGAAAUUUAUUGCAUAUAUUACGAGAAGCAGUACACACCAAUGGUAAAUUGAUACAUCGUUUUUGAGCUUAAGAUAGUCAAAUGAAAGAAACACAACGUAGGGUUCAUGAAACACUUUCAAAGCUGCUGAUGACUUAAAGUGAAUAACCUCAGCAUGUAAACUUAACUUCAAAGGACGGAGCACAAGUUUCACAGAAAAACAGCUCUUAUUUCUGAUGCUGCGAACACAGAGGAGUGACCUCAAUCUUCUUCAUCACUUGGGAAUUCUGCAAUUAUAGAGCACGACAUUGAGCAUGAACUAGAAAAAAUAUUUAUUUUCUACAAUUUUCAUAUAACCUCACUAACCAAGAUUAAUUUUGUGGUAAUGUAUUGGGUCAUUAAUUCAUAUGUUUUUACUGUCAUCACUUUAGAAAAAACUAAUUUCUCAAUGUGAAAUGGCCCAUAAAAGGUAUUCUCAUUUAAAAACUAAAUUUGACAAACCCCUCGAUUAAAGCAGGGGAGAGAAAAGAAAAAAAAAAAGAUCUGAAGGCUUUCCACAUGAAAAUGUUGUCACUUUGGAUGAUAUUUUCAAGGGAUUUCAUUCUAAAAAUAAAAUACCUGGGACCUUAUUCUUCAAAUUGACAGCUCGCCCAGUACUAAACGCGUAUGAGAUCAGUACUGGGACAAGUAACGAGACGACCCCUCCAACAGCUGAAAAUAAAAUUCGCAUUCAUCAAUUUAAAUUGAAAUUCAUAUUAUGAAAUUAAAACUAAUGAUUAAUGAAUUUUCAAGGAAUUUAAUAAGAUUCUCAUAUAUAAACGUGAUAAAAAAUUCACUCAUCAAUAACAAAUAUUCUAACAUUUUGUUGAUGUAAUUGUUGUAUGGUUGUGUUAAGGUCAUUAUUAGACCAACGCAGUUUGUCAUCACUCAUUCCGUACCAGACGUUUACUCUCGGAGGCGUGAUUGAUUCUCCUUUGGUGAAAUCUUCAUCUUCGGACAACCAAUCACAGUAAGAUAUUCCAAAGAUGGGAAUUUGAAGGCGUAAUUGCCAGAGGAGAAGCUUGUGAGACUAUCUAAAUCAAACAGGGACAACGUAGUCAGUUUGCUGAAAACAAUCUCUUCUUUUAAAUAUGCUGUUUCAUUUCAAGACUGGCAAAAUUCAUUGUGUAAUCAAAGUUUUCAAUGAUCCAACUAAUAUAUAUAUAUAUGUAUGUAUAUUCCUUCUCUAGUGCAGACAUUCUCAUUUUUUUUUUUCAUGUGGACCAGUUUUUAGAUCCCCUGGUUUAAAAGAGUUAGUUUUUAACUCUUUAAAACCGCAUGGCUUCAUAAUUUAUUUAAAAACUAACUCUCUUAAACCGCACGGUUUAAAAGCGUGUCCACAUUAAAAAAAAAAUACGGACCCCCACACCUGAGAAUGAUUAUAUAUAUAUAUAUAUAUAUAUAUAGACACACGCUCUUAAACCGUGGGAUUUGAAAGCUUCUCCGCAUGAAGAAAGUAAAAAAUAAGGGCAUUCCCACUAGAAACAAACUCCAUAUAGGUAUUUAUUAAACCUCCUGAUCUGUGAGUGAGGAACAACAAAUAUAAUUGAUAAAAAAAAUCUAAAAUUUGGUUUCAUACCUUCUUGAACGAGAACAGGGUUGUUGUGCCGGAAUACCAAAUUGAUCAUUCUCGUUAUUCUGGGACAACGUUAUUUUAUCACAAUUACAGGCCUCCAAUGUUUUUUAGUGCUGGCCAUUCUGAAGUAUGCAUUCCAGGGUAUAAACAUCCGAGUUCUGGUAGACCUUCGAGAUUCAGAGUGGUCACUUGUGGAAAGACAAAAUAUGGGGUCACUUGAUCUGCUCUGUCUUUGGAGAUGAUCUCUUGUAAACCCAUACAUAUCCGUAUCUCCAGGUGUUGGAGGUGCUCAAGGCUUUGGAUCAUAGAAGCUGAAAAUAUGUAUUUUAAUUUGUCACAGCCCCACACUAUCAAUCGUGUCAAACUUUGAAAGCCGCAAGUUGAUUGUCAUGCAAAAUCUCGUCGACAUUAAUAGCAUUCAGCUCCAAAGCCUCCAAAUUUGGCAACACUACCUGAAGAUAAUUUUCUCUUUAGAUCCAAUAUCCGUAUGGAAAGCACUUGUUUUGACACAAUAUCCAUAUAAGAAGCACUUAAUUAAGAGCUUAAUUAGCGAGUGUAUGAGACUUUUUUUUUUUCAAAUGCCAGUGCAUGAUAGAACUAAAAAAAAAAAAGAAGCAUUAGCCUACGUACCUUCUCGUUGAAAAGCAGAGUUGACGUUUCCGAACUGAUCUCGUUGGAACUGGCUGUCAAUUCCUCUUGCGACUCUUGUCUGUUUGGUGAUGUGGAAGAAGUCUUCACUUCACCGCAAAACCUUGUAACCUUUGGAAGCUUUCCCAGACUCAAAGAUCUUAAUUGACCAAACUCUAUCUUCCCAUCAACAUCAACAUCAGCUUCUCCUCCAGUUGCAAAAAUCUCUUCCAUGCUGCUGCAAUUGAUAACUGCAAUCCUCUCCAGUCUUGGAAGGCAUUUUGUACUACUAGAGAGCCAGAAGAUAUUACUCAACUCAUCACAAUUUUCUACUUUUAUGGUUUUGAGUUCAUUGAAGGACUCUAUUUGAGUCGAUCAAUACAUAUCCUCUCCAUAUUGAUCAAAUUUUGAAGAGUAUGGGACUCCAAAAGAGGAAAGGCGACACAUGGUUCUCUCUCCAUUGAAUCGACGAUACACAGGAAGUCUGGAUUAUUUUGAACAUGGAGAUGCUUCAAUUGUGAAAAGCCCUCAGUGUCCAAUUCUAAAACAACAUUCUUGAUUCCUUGCAACUUAUCCAAACAUAAGUAUUCAACGUUAUUGAUGCGCUGCAACUUCUCGGAGCAAAUGGCCAUAGAAUCAAGCUUGAGCUUCAAUGUUCUUAAACUCUCAUGAUUACUGAUCAUAAAGUGCUGCCGACUUCAAACCAAUCAUUCUCAAUAACCAGGGUAGAGUCGAAUGAUGCAUCUCCUAUUGAUAUAUCAAACCUUUCCAGCUUUUUGGAAAAAAAGCCAUCCGGUAAAAUGCUAUCAUUUUUAACAUCUAUCUAAGGUGGUCAAUCGCCUCAUAUGCAUCAAUUCGUCGAGGGUGGCAUUACUUCUUUCACUAUUGGCCUUUUCAACUUCCCAUUCAAUAGGGGAAUUACCCAUAUACAGUUCUUCCAAUCGAGUGAAGCUUGAUAAGACGUUGGGCACAAUAAAUUUUAGUUGCAAAACAAUCUGUUAAAUCUAACAGCCUUAACUUAGUCAGUUGACCUAGUUCGCCAGGCAACCGUACAAUAUCAGAAUUUAAAAAGCUAAGGAUUUCUAGAUUCUUCAACUUUCCAAUUAUGGCUAUGUCUCCCAACAUGCUUUGAUCUAGACAGAGUGUUUGAAGAUUGCUAGAAGACCGAUUGAAGAUGGCAAUGAAAAUAAUCGCAUUCGUGUCAAAUCUACAACUCGAAGCUUUUUCAGCCUUUGAAAAUGUUGUCAGGAAUAUUGACCUCAACAAAAAGUGUUUGGGAAAUAUGUAAAAAUUCAAGUUGCAGACAUUCAAAUUCCUCAGAAACUUCAUGAAUGCUACUAUUUAGUAAAAGAGAUUGCAUAGCAUUUUUUAAGUGCAUCCUCAUCUGGCCACUCCCACACAGCCUCAUUUCUCACCAAUAAAGCAUGUUGGUCUCGAUUUAAACUUUAACUCAAUUUGAAAAACUGAGCAAGUAUGCGUUACAGGAAAUCAAAAAAGCUCCACAUACCCAGAUCAUGAUCUCACGUUGAAUCCAGGUGGGAGAUAUAUUUAUGAUCAAGCCCAACAAUCGAAGGGGGCAAAAAAAAAAAAAAAAAAAAAAAUCUACCAGACAUAUGAUCAUAUUGACCACGAGCUUCAUACGCCGUGGAUUUAUUAACAAAAGUGGAAUUAAUUAAUCAUGAGCAUGUGUUCUAGUUAAGUCAAAAGAGAACUUAAUUAAGAACGCAUAUAUAAUUCAUAAUCAGCACAUAAAAAAUCACUAGUGCUUGCCCCUCCUGCCCUUGCCGUGCUUGCCGUGCUUGCCCCUGCCCUUGCUCUUUCCAUGCUGGUAGUAGCCGCCGUGCUUGCCGUGUGUGUAUGCACCGUGAGCUCCAGGAUAUGCGUUAUUAUCUGCAACAAAAUAAGAAAUUAAAUCAUAAGGCUUAUAAUUAGCUCGCUCGCUAAGAGUGAUUAAAAUAAUACCGUGCGGAACGGAUGGGCCAGGAUAUCCCGUUGGUGUGUAACCACUGGCGAGUGCUGCUCCUGUAGGCGGGUAGCCGGCACCGGCUGGGCAGCAUGAUCAGCACCUUCCAUGAUUUUGAUGAUCACCUAAUAAAUAAUAACUUGGUCCAAAAUAAACAACAAUAAAUAAUUGUGAUUAAUAAAAAGUAAUAUAUUCUCUAAUUAAAAACAUUAAUGAUCAUUGGAGAGCAAGCGAGAAAUACUUACUGAAUGCGAUGGGACAGACAACAUCAUGCAUAGAGAAUUGUUCAUCUUCAACGAAUUUGGCUGCCCGGUCAAUGAUGCCGUUAGCACUAACCAGCCACUUCUCAACCUUCUCUUCAAUCUCUUCCCCUUUUUCUUUUGCCUCUGAAACUCUGCGCCGAAUGCUCGUACGUUCAACCUUCAACUUCUCCAUUUCCGUCUUGAGAUUCUCAAGGUGGCAUUGUAGUUCCGCUUGCGCAAAUAAACAAGUUGGCGUUCUGUUGAGGAGCCAAGCAUUUACAAGUUCCAAAACGAGAGUAACAAUGAUUUCCAGCAUCUUGAAUCCUGACAACAAUGUAGAAGUGAAGAAGGCCAAAGGACAGUCAAAACAGAGAGACAGCGUUACGACAACAGUUAUGAGCUAAAAAUAAAUAACAAACAAACAGAAGCAAAGUGUUUUUCGAAUGAGAAGAAGGAAGCAAGAAAAACUUAAAACUAGUAUAAUAAAUUUAUACUAAAACUAGUAUAGUAAAACAAGAAGUCAAGAACCAGCAACUUUUACACACAAAAUAAAACCUUAAAACUAGUAUAAUAAAUUUAUCAUCAAGUUGCAGCCUUCUUAUUCAACAAUUACAGCAUUAUCUUGAGCUCUGUGUUUCUUUUUUUAAAAAUUAUUCAAAAAAAUCUGCAUUUUUUUUCAACGAUAAAAAUUAUAUUUUUGUCUCAUAUAAUAUAAAAUUAAAAAAAAAACAAACAUAUAUUAAAGGUCUGUUUGGGAUUAUUUUUAGAGGCUCAAAAGUAAUUUUUUAAAAAGUUAAAUGCUAAUUUUGGUAUUUAAUAAAAUUUUUAGAAGUCACCUUUGGUAAAAUCAUCAAUCCUACAACAAAUUUUGAAAGCAAAUAGUUUUUCAAAUUUUUAUUUUGAUAAUUAAUUUUAUACUUAAUAUAAUUCCAUAUACAUCCCUACAUAUAUUAAUUAUCCUUAUUAAUUAGAAAAUAAAAUUAUUAACUUUAAAGAUAUUAUCAACAAUUACAUUGAGAUAACAAACUAAAAAUAAAAUUAAUAAUAUAAAAUAUUUAUUUUAGUAAUCAAUUAUUAUACUUACAAGAUAAAAAAUAUUUUAUUUAAAUGUUUAUAAAUGUACAAAUAAAUUUUAUUUAAUAUUAUAUUCAAUUUAGUCAUUUACAUUGUCAAUAGGACUUCUAAAAAUAAAUUUUCCUAAAUGUUUAACUAAUUCUCUUCAUAGUGAUUAUUUNUUUUAUUAUAUUAGUAAUCAAUUUAAUUUAUUUUUAUUCUUGAGUAAUGGAUUAAAUUUAUUUAGUUUGAAGAGAAAAUUUGACAAAAAUUAAAUGGAAAAAUUGGAUAAUGAAGUUAUAUUCGUAAUUUUAUUAAUAAUAUAGGAAUAAAUUGAACAAUGAACAAUUAUUUUUUAAUAUGCUAUGAGGGUAUAAUGGUAAAAUUAUAAUUUACUGUUAACAAAUGGGGGUCUCAGUGUUUUUUUUGAAACAUUAGGGGGUUUUGUGUCCCUUAUUCAAACGUUGGGGGUCUCUGUGUCCUUUUCCCAAAAAUUUAUAAACUAGAAAUUUAUAAUAAUCUAACUUAUUCUCGUUACUAUUAAAAAAUAAGUAAACAUAUCAAUAACAAUAUAGUUUAUUAUGAUUAUAAUUCAUUCAAUUAAAAUAAAUAAUUAUUCUUAUUUCUAUUCUCUAUUCUAAUUUCAGUAAAUUUUGAUUUUAGUUUAUUUUAAUUAUUGAUUAGUUGUAAACUUAACUGGAAAUUUAUUGCAUAUAUUACGAGAAGCAGUACACACCAAUGGUAAAUUGAUACAUCGUUUUUGAGCUUAAGAUAGUCAAAUGAAAGAAACACAACGUAGGGUUCAUGAAACACUUUCAAAGCUGCUGAUGACUUAAAGUGAAUAACCUCAGCAUGUAAACUUAACUUCAAAGGACGGAGCACAAGUUUCACAGAAAAACAGCUCUUAUUUCUGAUGCUGCGAACACAGAGGAGUGACCUCAAUCUUCUUCAUCACUUGGGAAUUCUGCAAUUAUAGAGCACGACAUUGAGCAUGAACUAGAAAAAAUAUUUAUUUUCUACAAUUUUCAUAUAACCUCACUAACCAAGAUUAAUUUUUGUGGUAAUGUAUUGGGUCAUUAAUUCAUAUGUUUUUACUGUCAUCACUUUAGAAAAAACUAAUUUCUCAAUGUGAAAUGGCCCAUAAAAGGUAUUCUCAUUUAAAAACUAAAUUUGACAAACCCCUCGAUUAAAGCAGGGAGAGAAAAGAAAAAAAAAAGAUCUGAAGGCUUUCCACAUGAAAAUGUUGUCACUUUGGAUGAUAUUUUCAAGGGAUUUCAUCUAAAAAAUAAAUACCUGGGACCUUAUUCUUCAAAUUGACAGCUCGCCCAGUACUAAACGCGUAUGAGAUCAGUACUGGGAAAGUAACGAGACGACCCUCCAACAGCUGAAAAUAAAAUUCGCAUUCAUCAAUUUAAAUUGAAAUUCAUAUUAUGAAAUUAAAACUAAUGAUUAAUGAAUUUUCAAGGAAUUUAAUAAGAUUCUCAUAUAUAAACGUGAUAAAAAAUUCACUCAUCAAUAACAAAUAUUCUAACAUUUUGUUGAUGUAAUUGUUGUAUGGUUGUGUUAAGGUCAUUAUUAGACCAACGCAGUUUGUCAUCACUCAUUCCGUACCAGACGUUUACUCUCGGAGGCGUGAUUGAUUCUCCUUUGGUGAAAUCUUCAUCUUCGGACAACCAAUCACAGUAAGAUAUUCCAAAGAUGGGAAUUUGAAGGCGUAAUUGCCAGAGGAGAAGCUUGUGAGACUAUCUAAAUCAAACAGGGACAACGUAGUCAGUUUGCUGAAAACAAUCUCUUCUUUUAAAUAUGCUGUUUCAUUUCAAGACUGGCAAAAUUCAUUGUGUAAUCAAAGUUUUCAAUGAUCCAACUAAUAUAUAUAUAUAUGUAUGUAUAUAUUCCUUCUCUAGUGCAGACAUUCUCAUUUUUUUUUUUUCAUGUGGACCAGUUUUUAGAUCCCCUGGUUUAAAAGAGUUAGUUUUUAAACUCUUUAAAACCGCAUGGCUUCAUAAUUUAUUUAAAAACUAACUCUCUUAAACCGCACGGUUUAAAAGCGUGUCCACAUUAAAAAAAAAUACGGACCCCACACCUGAGAAUGAUUAUAUAUAUAUAUAUAUAUAUAUAGACACACGCUCUUAAACCGUGGGAUUUGAAAGCUUCUCCAUGAAGAAAGUAAAAAAUAAGGGCAUUCCCACUAGAAACAAACUCCAUAUAGGUAUUUAUUAAACCUCCUGAUCUGUGAGUGAGGAACAACAAAUAUAAUUGAUAAAAAAAAUCUAAAAUUUGGUUUCAUACCUUCUUGAACGAGAACAGGGGUUGUUGUGCCGGAAUACCAAAUUGAUCAUUCUCGUUAUUCUGGGACAACGUUAUUUUAUCACAAUUACAGGCCUCCAAUGUUUUUUAGUGCUGGCCAUUCUGAAGUAUGCAUUCCAGGGUAUAAACAUCCGAGUUCUGGUAGACCUUCGAGAUUCAGAGUGGUCACUUGUGGAAAGACAAAAUAUGGGGUCACUUGAUCUGCUCUGUCUUUGGAGAUGAUCUCUUGUAAACCCAUACAUAUCCGUAUCUCCAGGUGUUGGAGGUGCUCAAGGCUUUGGAUCAUAGAAGCUGAAAAUAUGUAUUUUAAUUUGUCACAGCCCCACACUAUCAAUCGUGUCAAACUUUGAAAGCCGCAAGUUGAUUGUCAUGCAAAAUCUCGUCGACAUUAAUAGCAUUCAGCUCCAAAGCCUCCAAAUUUGGCAACUACCUGAAGAUAAUUUUCUCUUUAGAUCCAAUAUCCGUAUGGAAAGCACUUGUUUUGACACAAUAUCCAUAUAAGAAGCACUUAAUUAAGAGCUUAAUUAGCGAGUGUAUGAGACUUUUUUUUUUUUCAAAUGCCAGUGCAUGAUAGAACUAAAAAAAAAAAAGAAGCAUUAGCCUACGUACCUUCUCGUUGAAAAGCAGAGUUGACGUUUCCGAACUGAUCUCGUUGGAACUGGCUGUCAAUUCCUCUUGCGACUCUUGUCUGUUUGGUGAUGUGGAAGAAGUCUUCACUUCACCGCAAAACCUUGUAACCUUUGGAAGCUUUCCCAGACUCAAAGAUCUUAAUUGACCAAACUCUAUCUUCCCAUCAACAUCAACAUCAGCUUCUCCUCCAGUUGCAAAAAUCUCUUCCAUGCUGCUGCAAUUGAUAACUGCAAUCCUCUCCAGUCUUGGAAGGCAUUUUGUACUACUAGAGAGCCAGAAGAUAUUACUCAACUCAUCACAAUUUUCUACUUUUAUGGUUUUGAGUUCAUUGAAGGACUCUAUUUUGAGUCGGAUCAAUACAUAUCCUCUCCAUAUUGAUCAAAUUUUGAAGAGUAUGGGACUCCAAAAGAGGAAAGGCGACACAUGGUUCUCUCUCCAUUGAAUCGACGAUACACAGGAAGUCUGGAUUAUUUUGAACAUGGAGAUGCUUCAAUUGUGAAAAGCCCUCAGUGUCCAAUUCUAAAACAACAUUCUUGAUUCCUUGCAACUUAUCCAAACAUAAGUAUUCAACGUUAUUGAUGCGCUGCAACUUCUCGGAGCAAAUGGCCAUAGAAUCAAGCUUGAGCUUCAAUGUUCUUAAACUCUCAUGAUUACUGAUCAUAAAGUGCUGCCGACUUUCAAACCAAUCAUUCUCAAUAACCAGGGUAGAGUCGAAUGAUGCAUCUCCUAUUGAUAUAUCAAACCUUUCCAGCUUUUUGGAAAAAAAGCCAUCCGGUAAAAUUGCUAUCAUUUUUAACAUCUAUCUAAGGUGGUCAAUCGCCUCAUAUGCAUCAAUUCGUCGAGGGUGGCAUUACUUCUUUCACUAUUGGCCUUUUCAACUUCCCAUUCAAUAGGGAAUUACCCAUAUACAGUUCUUCCAAUCGAGUGAAGCUUGAUAAGACGUUGGGCACAAUAAAUUUUAGUUGCAAACAAUCUGUUAAAUCUAACAGCCUUAACUUAGUCAGUUGACCUAGUUCGCCAGGCAACCGUACAAUAUCAGAAUUUAAAAAGCUAAGGAUUUCUAGAUUCUUCAAACUUUCCAAUUAUGGCUAUGUCUCCCAACAUGCUUUGAUCUAGACAGAGUGUUUGAAGAUUUGCUAGAAGACCGAUUGAAGAUGGCAAUGAAAAUAAUCGCAUUCGUGUCAAAUCUACAACUCGAAGCUUUUUCAGCCCUUUGAAAAUGUUGUCAGGAAUAUUGACCUCAACAAAAGUGUUUUGGGAAAUAUGUAAAAAUUCAAGUUGCAGACAUUCAAAUUCCUCAGAAACUUCAUGAAUGCUACUAUUUAGUAAAGAGAUUGCAUAGCAUUUUUUUAAGUGCAUCCUCAUCUGGCCACUCCCACACAGCCUCAUUUCUCACCAAUAAAGCAUGUUGGUCUCGAUUUAAACUUUAACUCAAUUUGAAAAACUGAGCAAGUAUGCGUUACAGGAAAUCAAAAAAGCUCCACAUACCCAGAUCAUGAUCUCACGUUGAAUCCAGGUGGGAGAUAUAUUUAUGAUCAAGCCCAACAUCGAAGGGGGCAAAAAAAAAAAAAAAAAAAAAUCUACCAGACAUAUGAUCAUAUUGACCACGAGCUUCAUACGCCGUGGAUUUAUUAACAAAAAGUGGGAAUUAAUUAAUCAUGAGCAUGUGUUCUAGUUAAGUCAAAAGAGAGACUUAAUUAAGAACGCAUAUAUAAUUCAUAAUCAGCACAUAAAAAGAUCACUAGUGCUUGCCCCUCCUGCCCUUGCCGUGCUUGCCGUGCUUGCCCCUGCCCUUGCUCUUUCCAUGCUGGUAGUAGCCGCCGUGCUUGCCGUGUGUGUAUGCACCGUGAGCUCCAGGAUAUGCGUUAUUAUCUGCAACAAAAUAAGAAAUUAAAUCAUAAGCUUAUAAUUAGCUCGCUCGCUAAGAGUGAUUAAAAUAAUACCGUGCGGAACGGAUGGGCCAGGAUAUCCCGUUGGUGUGUAACCACUGGCGAGUGCUGCUCCUGUAGGCGGGUAGCCGGCACCGGCUGGGGCAGCAUGAUCAGCACCUUCCAUGAUUUUGAUGAUCACCUAAUAAAUAAUAACUUGGUCCAAAAUAAACAACAAUAAAUAAUUGUGAUUAAUAAAAAGUAAUAUAUUCUCUAAUUAAAACAUUAAUGAUCAUUGGAGAGCAAGCGAGAAAUACUUACUGAAUGCGAUGGGACAGACAACAUCAUGCAUAGAGAAUUGUUCAUCUUCAACGAAUUUGGCUGCCCGGUCAAUGAUGCCGUUAGCACUAACCAGCCACUUCUCAACCUUCUCUUCAAUCUCUUCCCCUUUUUCUUUUGCCUCUGAAACUCUGCGCCGAAUGCUCGUACGUUCAACCUUCAACUUCUCCAUUUCCGUCUUGAGAUUCUCAAGGUUGGCAUUGUAGUUCCGCUUGCGCAAAUAAACAAGUUGGCGUUCUGUUGGAGGAGCCAAGCAUUUUACAAGUUCCAAAACGAGAGUAACAAUGAUUUCCAGCAUCUUGAAUCCUGACAACAAUGUAGAAGUGAAGAAGGCCAAAGGACAGUCAAAACAGAGAGACAGCGUUACGACAAGCAGUUAUGGAGCUAAAAAUAAAUAACAAACAAACAGAAGCAAAGUGUUUUUCGAAUGAGAAGAAGGAAGCAAGAAAAACUUAAAACUAGUAUAAUAAAUUUAUACUAAAACUAGUAUAGUAAAACAAGAAGUCAAGAACCAGCAACUUUUACACACAAAAUAAAACCUUAAAACUAGUAUAAUAAAUUUAUCAUCAAGUUGCAGCCUUCUUAUUCAACAAUUACAGCAUUAUCUUGAGCUCUGUGUUUCUUUUUUUAAAAAUUAUUCAAAAAAAUCUGCAUUUGUUUUUCAACGAUAAAAAUUAUAUUUUUGUCUCAUAUAAUAUAAAAUUAAAAAAAAAAACAAACAUAUAUUAAAGGUCUGUUUGGGAUUAUUUUUAGAGGCUCAAAAGUAAUUUUAAAAAGUUAAAUGCUAAUUUUGGUAUUUAAUAAAAUUUUUAGAAGUCACCUUUGGUAAAAUCAUCAAUCCUACAACAAAUUUUGAAAGCAAAUAGUUUUUCAAAUUUUUAUUUUGAUAAUUAAUUUUAUACUUAAUAUAAUUCCAUAUACAUCCCUACAUAUAUUAAUUAUCCUUAUUAAUUAGAAAAUAAAAUUAUUAACUUUAAAGAUAUUAUCAACAAUUACAUUGAGAUAACAAACUAAAAAUAAAAUUAAUAAUAUAAAAUAUUUAUUUUAGUAAUCAAUUAUUAUACUUACAAGAUAAAAAAUAUUUUAUUUAAAUGUUUAUAAAUGUACAAAUAAAUUUUAUUUAAUAUUAUAUUCAAUUUAGUCAUUUACAUUGUCAAUAGGACUUCUAAAAAUAAAUUUUCCUAAAUGUUUAACUAAUUCUCUUCAUAGUGAUUAUUUCCAAACAUAACUACCAAAAAUUACUAUAAUAGAUACAACAUUACCAAAAAAAUAUUGAGAUAGAUUUUAAUUAGGUAAUUGACUUAAUUAUGAAUCAAUUUAUUAUUUCCAUAUGUGUUAUCAAAACCAGCUCAAUAAUGAGAUCACUCUUUUUCUUAAAUAAAAAUAUUUGUGCCAAACAAUUGUUGCAAAAUUUCAAAUAUAAAUUACAAACAACAAAAUUUUCUAAAAUCAUAACAAUAAUUUAUGUUGUGAAUACAUGUAACUAAACCACAUUGAAAUUUUAUUGUUAGUAAAAUUGUUUUUCACGCAAAUGCAGUGACGGAUUCAGUUUCAUGUUUCACCCUCAAUAACUUAAUUUUCAUAUCUAACAAAUCAUCCAUAUUAUUAACAAUAUCAUCACCAAACAUAAUCUACCUAAACAUAAACUAAACAUAACACAUACAUAUAACUAUAUACAUACCGAAUCAGGAAAACAAUGAAAGCUACACGUAUCCGGCUCUACAAUUCCUUCUUGAUACCCUUGUGCUUCUGAAAUAAUCAACCAAUUAUAAAAAUUAGCUUAGGCGCAACUUUACCCCUUUUUUGGAAAACUUAACGAUAAAUAAAGUAUACAAAUCUCUAAAUUAACUUCGUCCCCAUGAAAUUCAGCAUAAAUAGAAAUAGAAUUAUAGAAACCUUACUACCUUUUAUGAGAAAUCCAACUUAUAUAUUUGAGACCUCUCUCUCUAAACACGCGCUUCCUCUCUCUGUACACUUUCCACCUUUGAAUUUUCCUUCACUAAGUCUACCUAAAUGAAUUUAGCAUUCUUCCAGUUUCUUUAGCAUUUUUUCUCCGUGAAAAUAGGUGAAAAAGAGAAAGUGGUUUGAUUAUUUUAAUGUAUGACAGAUCUGGUUUCCAUCUCUGUAAUUUAAGUUUGUCAAAACGAGAUAAUCAACUCUUUGUCGAGUCAGUCAAAUAUAAAAGACAAAUUACUAAACCAAGCAGAGCCCAAAAAAAAAUAUUUCCAAUUAAAUAAUCAUCAAGUCUUUUUCAAUUAAAUUAGGGAGUGCAGAACAACUGUCGAGAGAUAAUCAUUGUUUAUGGAGCCAUAUUAUAUUUUCGAUUAAAAUAGUUGCGCGUGAACAAUUGGCAGAAUUCGUAUAAAUUGUUGUCAGGUCUAUUAUAAUUAACAAGCGGAAUGGCCAAUGGAUGAAGAACCACUGUAAUUUCGUUUAUGAAUUCAAAAUGCUAAAGAAACUGGACAUCAACGCUAAAUGUCAGCCUGCGGCCCUUGCCUCAGUGUCUUUCAGGCGUUACUCUGGGUAGUUGAUAUACUGACCGUCCCUUUAUCAAUUAAUAAUCGAAAUAGGUUAAAAUAUGAAUGGAUUGGAAUGGUAUGACUUGGAAUUAAAAUAUGGAAUGACGAUUAGAUUAAUUAAUUUAUUUAAAUUGAGAAAUUAGAAUCAUAAUAAAUUAUAUUGUUAUUGAUGUAUUUGUUUUAUCUUAAAAUUGCGAUGAGUUGUUACAAAUUACUAAUAUGCCUUUGAUUUUGUAUUAUGAUAAUUAUUAUUUAUUAUAACAUUUGUCAUAUAAUAAUAAUAAUAAUAACAACAACAACAAUUAAUAUUGAAAAAUUUUUAUUGUUAAUAAUAAAUAGGCAAUUAUCCACCGAUCAUGUGAUCUUUUGGACGUUUUAAAAAAUAUACAAACACUUUUUUCUUUGCAGAAAUCCACCUGAAAUUUACAAAGUGUUUCAAUUGUUCACUGUCAUCUAAAUUUUGUUAGAAUUUUCUUGACGUUGUAAGGAUAAAAUUGUUAUUUUUACCUUGACUUCCAAAGAGGAUGUCUUUCAAACAUGAUGAAAAUAAAAAAAAGGAUAAAAAAUUAUCUGUAAACUAUCUGAUCUUUUAGCCAUUAUACAAAAUAUUAAAAAAAUAUACGAACAUUUUUUAUUUUUUUCAACAAUCCAUCUGAUAGUUAUGAAGUGCAUUAGUGCUCCACUACUAUCAUAACCCUUUAAAAAUAUCGCUUAAACACGAGAACCUAUUGCCUAAAAUUAUUUUUCAAGAAAAUGUAACUACAGAUUUGGUUUUGAUCUUCAUGACUUUUAAGUGUACAAGAACAAGAUGAACGAACCUUUGUCGAGUUGAUGAAUUAAGAUAAAUCAAUUACAAAUCGAGAACAAACUUACGGGUGACAUUUUAGUAUUAAGCAAACUAUAAUUGAUCAUCCAAUGAUAGGCUUAUUUUCAAUUAAAUUAGAGUAAAGAUAGACAUUCCAAAUUUUUUCUCUCAAAUUUAAUCCUAGAUAAUGUGUUAUUAAUUGAGUGCUUGGUAAUUCUUUCAAGAUCUAAGUGAAUUAAUUAUAUUAUCUCUCCAACCAAUUGAUGAAUAUUAUAUUAUUUGAGAUAAUUUUUUUUUAUCUCAAAUCCCAGCAAAGAAAACAGAACAAACGGAGCAAAAAUAUUUUUAGAAACCUAAAAUAACAAAAAAAAACUUUUUCUUGUUUUUCUUAUUUUCCACUGUUAAACUUCAAAAUGAACAACUUUAUUCUACCAUCUCUCAAAUAAUAAUAAUAACAACAAUGUCAUCAUCAUCAAUAAUAAUAAUAAUAUAUUAACUUUGUAGGAUGGAGCUCUCGCAAAUCUUCAAGACACAAAAUGUGCUUGACCCCAUUGUUGUUAUUAUAAUUUCAAAAUCAUCUGUAUUAUAUAAUAUUAGGGAAUAUGACAUAGCAAAAUUGAUGGUACAUAUGUUGCAAUAUACUUGUUCAUGUGGCGACACAUUGAAGUAAAGCACAAGCAAAACAACGAAAAAUGUAACGGGAGAGCUCUCAUUAUGUAGAUUUUCAAUAGAAGUAAUGCAAAUUUCACAAGGGCAAUGGCCUUAUUUCGAAUGCUGCACCUGAGGAAUGACUUGAAUCUUCUUUAGAACUCAAGCAUUCUGUAAUCAUAGGGUAUAACAUUUCAACAAAAAUAUUAUAUAGGUCGUUCCUUUAUAUAUUUUCUGGGUACACAUACAGAAAUAUUAUUUUAGGUACAUUUCUCACAAUAAAGCCUGCCCAAUCUAGCAUUUUCGUAAGUUGGGUUUCUUAUUUACAUGUUUUUUCCAUUGGUUAAUUAUCACAAACCUCCACUGAGAUUUAGCAUGUUUUUAGUUUGAUAGAUUGUAUUCGCGUAUUCUCAAAUACCUUUUAGUUUACCACUUCGUAUAAAUUAAGUUGGUGAGGAUAAAAUCAUAAAAGUACACAUUAAUGAUAAAAAAAUUCAAGUAAACUUGAAAUUUUCAAGGGGUAAUUUUUCGGGACCUCCCCUGAGGUUCGGUGUAUUAAAAGUCUCAUAGAAAGUAUUCAUGUAAUUAUAAGAACCUCCCCUGACGUUAGUACACAGUUAACUUGACUGUUAGUGGACUGAUAAAAAGUCAAAAAUGCCAUUGGCUACAAAAAUGAGUGCAACAAUUUGGAGUUAAAUAGUAAACACCACAUUGGAGCACUAAAAAGUCUAUAAUAAUCAUGGAAAAAAAUCAUUGACAUUUACAUAAUAUAAAAAAAAAAAGUAAAAUAUAAAUUAAGAAAAUCAACAAAAUUGUCAACGUAUAGAAUAUUUACAGCAGCAGUGGCUAUAAAUACAACCGUCGUCAAAUUAAAAUAUCACCAUUAGUAAACUACUUCAAUAAGACAAUAAACCAUGAUUCACUCUUCAAAGCAUUCAAAAUACACAACCCGCACAAUAGAAUCACAUACGCACACCUGCUAAUGAAAUAUAAGAACAAACAGGAAAUUGAACUGACAUGGCUAAGAUACUCCUUCCCCAUAGCUAUUAGAAAGAUAAUGAGCGAUUUAUGAAUCAUGAUGCUUGCUUUACUUUCUGGCAGUGUUAGCUUCAAAUUCAAUGAUAGUAAAUGAACAAUGGUUCAUUCAUUAUGAAAGUAAGUGUAAAGCUAGGAAUUUAUAAUAUUCAGAUGUUGGAAUUGGAAAAAUAUUCCUUAAUCGUUUCAAUUGAAGCCAAGGAAGAAAAGAAAUGAGUCUUCUUUUUUCAGGAGACAAGCCAUAUGAAGAAGGCAGACCAGAGCAUAAGAACGAAUGCUACUGCCACAGUAAAAGCCUGGAUCAAUGGGUAAUGGUACCUGCCAUGUCAAUUUCAAGACAAACAAAAAUCAAUUAUCAUCCCCAGACCACAACACCACCAAACCAACCUUUUGAAUCUAAAAUAACAAGUUAAUAAAUCAAAGAUUUCAAUUCAUUUAAGUUUGAAAUCAACUAAAAUAGAAAAAAAAAACCCAAUUUCUUUUUUGUUCAAUAUAACUCAUUCAGCAUCUUCUUCAACACAUUUUUAUCAUUCUUCAUCAUCACAACAAUAAAAAGAAAAAAAAAACAUUGAGUCCAACAUGCAAGUUUUUUUUUUGGGAAACUAACCGUUUUUAGGUUCCAAUUCUAGUAGUCUUAAACAGUAGCCGCCGACGAAAUUCGCUUGGCGACACCCUUUUGCCACCAUUGCAGCUUGUCAUGUUCAUACUCAGCUUAAAAUUACUUGAAGGCAGCAGGGAUUUUAUAGUUACAAAAGUUUCUUCAGAGCUUUUCAAGCUUGAAAAUGGCUGAGAGUUUCAUUUCAUGAGAGAGAAAAUGGAGUUUUCAUUCAUCUUAGAUAAAUUGAAGAUAAUUUGCAUUGUGGGUAAUAAAUUGAUUGUCAGUGCCUAAAUUUGGGUCAUCGACACAACUUUGGAAUUUUUUUUAUUUUUCUUUGAUUUUUAUUAUGAAACUACUAAUUUACCCUCAUAUACUAACAUAUAUGAAAUGGCAUACUAACGUCAGUUAUGUCAAGCAGCUCCCUGUAAUUACGUGAAUAUUUUUCAUGAGACUGUCAAUACACAAAAUCUCAGGGGAAAUCCCUAAACAUUACCUAAUUUUUAAGUUGUGUUCUGAAAUUGGUCUCAACUUUGUAAUGUGUAAUGCCCACAAAAAAAGAAAAGGAAAAAUGGUCAUCUCUUUCCUCCAUUCGAACUGAAGCCAUGAAACGCAAUAUCCCUUUCAUCUUCUCUCUAAUGCUUUGAUUAAAAAACUUGCUUACGAACGGGAGACCAUGACACUGAAUCCGAAGACAGAAAUACCUGAGAUGACUGAUUCACGCCGGCGAUGUGGAAGAAUACCGACCAGUGACUUUCGCCGUCGACCCACAAACAAUCCCAGUGUUUUCGAGCCGCGAAUGAGGUAUGAAUAAGAUUAUUUCCGUGCGUGUCAGUUUUGUAAGGAGAUUUGAUUAAAAAAAAGAAUAAUGGGUCUCGAAAAUUUUUUGAGUAUUUCUGUUGCUUAAAUUUUUUUCCAUCGAUUAAUGUUAGUUGUAGGUGAAUGAUUGUUGCAAACGCAUGUUCGCUUGUGAUUGAUUGAAAAUGACUUGUUAUUUGUUAUGCUGCCAUGUGACUCAUUGAAAAUGCCUCUGAAAUUUUUUUAUUUGUUUAAGGUACUGAUUCUGAUUAUUGAACAGGGAUUCAUGCUAGUUUUUAUUAAAUUAAAGAUGAGAUUAUUUUUUAAGAGAUCUACCAAACCUUCUCUACUAUAGAUUUGGCUUCUGACAUACCUGGUUCGCUGGAGAUAAUUGUUUAUAUAGUCAUUGCUGCUCGUAUUAAUCAGGAACAUUGAUUAGCAAUGUACUGGAAUAGAGAUUGGUAUAAUUUUGGAAAAUUAGUCGUAGAUGCAACCUGAUUAUGGUCUCAAAUAGUGUGAUCUGUCAAUUCCGUUUGCUCUAGCCUAACAACCUUGAAUCUGAGCUAUGCCACUAUACAAAGUCCUGACCUAAUCAAGCUUGUUAGCCAAUGUCCAAAAUUGCAGUGUCUUUAGAUAAGCCCUGUCUUACUUGUUUGAGUUAUAAAUGAAAAUUGAAGUGUCUUUGGAUAAUCACGCUGAAUGUUCAAGUUAUUGAAGAGAAGGGACCCCCAGAUUCAAGGCCGGAGCUCCCUGUUGAGAAGCUUUACAUAUAUGGGAUUGUCGCUGGGCGGAGGAUCGAUAUGCCCGGUUUUGUUUGGAAUAGGGAUGAAGAUUUUGCAUUGAGGCUUUCUUGAUAGAUCAUUCUGCAAAUCAAGCUCCAUGUACCUAUCUUCAGACUCUUGGAUAUGUAUAAAGCAGGUGCAUGCUCUAUAUGUUACUCAUUGUAUCACGAUUAUUUUUCUAUUGCUUAAAAUAAUUGCAGUCCUUGAUGUAGUUGGAGACAACUUAUGGAGGGUAUACAGAGGCUCGAGAGUUUGAUUGCCAUUCAUUUGACACUUGGCUGAGCUACAGCAUACCAACUAGUGAUUAAUAAAGAGAAGGUAUGAAGGUCCUGUUGCUGGUGGUAUUAUCAAUCAGAAUUGUUAUUUUACUUAGUCAUAGUUACCAUGUAUAAGAUUCGUAGACUUUUUGCAUGUUUAUGCAUUCGCAUCAUCUUUUUGUUAAGCUAGAGAUGGUUGAUUUGUGUACUCAUUUGUAUCACUUGUAGCCCUUGAGGAAUAAAAUUUAAAAUUUUGUUGCAUCUCCUGUACUAAAUACUAAUUUUGUUUGCUUUAUGUAUGGGAAAUGGUUCAUUAUCUUAUUUCUUUGAUGUGUAUAGUGUUACACUGUCUAAAGUUGAAAAGUAUUUCUAUCACUUGUGUAAAAAACAAACAAUUUUUUUUUCACUCUUCUUAUAUUGAAUAAAAGAAGGACACCAAGAUCUUCACCAAGAUUGAACGAAAUUUGAUGCAGAAAGCAUAGCAAUUAGGCCAGUGCAAAAUAGCUUCCUUCUGAUUCUCUGAUAUUUGACUUAAAUCUUUUGUUUGUUUCAUUCAUCAAAGUCAUUUUGGAAAGUAGCAGGCGUGAUUUGAUAUUUUCAUUGUAUUCACAUCCGUUGGCACCAAAACAAACAUGCUGGUACUAACCAACAAUUUUUUAUUUUUAGUGUACAAAUUAUUAUUUUUAAGACAAAUAAGCUGGUACUAACCAACAAUAUUUUAUUUUCAGUAUACAAAUUAUUAUUUUUUUUUCUAAAUUAGGGGUAUUAAGAAAAGGUAUGCUAGCACCAGGGGAGGUAUUUGAAAAUAUACAAAUACAAUCUAUCAAACUGAGAAUACACCGAACCGGCAGGUUUCUGAUAAAUCCUUUUUUUCUUUUUCCUCCAUUCACUAUAGGUUCAAUUUAGACGCUGUUGACCAAACAGAAGGUUUGGGUUGGUAAACGCACUGGUGUUAAUGCCAACAACCCAAGGGGCUUCAUGGUCCUCUGGGCCGAAAUAGCGUAAUUAUUAAUUCUCCUCCAGUGAAAAUCUUCAUCUUGGGACAAAUAAUUACGAAUUGACAUUAUAGCUGUGGAAAUUUGGAGGUGUAAUAACCGGAAAAGUAAAAAUCUUAAGAGACUUUUUAAAUAAAAAAGAUACAACACCUUCAAUUUGCUAAAAGUAAUGGUAUCAUUUCUUGUACGGAUAAUGGAUGAUUAGAUUUUGUUUUUUGUUAUCCGACGAAGGAUAUUCAGUUGUUCUUUAUGUGUUCACAGGCAAGAGCAUGAGCAUAUUCAUGGUUUCAUAUAUGCUUCUUGCAUUUUCUAAUUAAGUACUCUCUUUCCUUGCCUUCUUAGUUUUGAAAGAAAGAUGUGAAGCAAAGCAAACCCAGUGAAAUAUACAGAGAAACAGAACCAUCAGAGGAAAAACUAAAUAACAGAACCACAAUUGAACCAAACAAAAUCAAAUAAACCGAGGCAACGGAUACCCUGAAUCAGGCAUCCCUUUUUCUCGAAAGAAAAUAUGUUUGCAUGGGUGGGAACCUAAUAAUUACUCAAGAGUUGGAGUUGGAAAGAUUUGGUAUUCAUAUCUUCACAAUUCAUAAGCUUUAAUGCAGAAUCGACAGCUUUAUAUUAAUUUAUUCAACCAAAAACGAUAAAGUAGGAAAACCACAAUAAUCCACCAACUUUUGCUACUUUUAGGAAUAAUUUUUAGUCAACUUUCAAAAAGUGAGAUGACGAUCUUUGAGUUGAUAAAUCUUGGCCUGCUGCUUAGUACCCUUCCAACAUAUAAAGUACUAGAUGUUUAGCUGAGAAAAUGACGAGAUCAUUUAUCAAAUUUCUUGCGCAUAUAUACAUAUAUAUACAAGAAAUAAGAAUCAGAGUGAUUAUAAGACCUUGCAAUGAGGCAAUAAUACAUCAUCAAAUCUAAAAAUACACAAGAAAUUCGUGACGUAUAUAUAACAAUAGACCUCUCAUUGAGUCAUACAUAUUGAGAAUAAAAUGUCAAAAUGCAUACAAAGAGCUUAUACAGAAAAUGAAUUUACACACAUUUAGAAUAAACUGUCUUUGAACUUCCGAUGGUCAAACAAAGGAAACAGACAGGAAAUGACACACACUAUCAUAUAUGUAGCGACACGAUGAAGUAAAUCACAUGAAGAUGGAAACGGAACCCCUCACAACAUAAAAUUUGAAUAAAGGGGGAAAAAAAGGCUUCAUUUCAAAUGUUGCACAGAAGAAGAGUGACUUGAAUCUCCAUCAAUAUCCAAACAUUCUGCAAACAUAGUGCUGAGAAUUUUAACAAGAAUAACUGUAAUAUCCCAAAUCUCCUAAGGGUAUUUAAGUCUUUUUAAUUUUUAGUGAUCCUUUUUACCCUAGUAUAAAUAGAACAAGAUGUCUUUUUCAUUAUAAGAGAGAGAGAAAAAGAGAGAUCGGUUGAAAAAGAGAGAUGGAGAGACAAGAGAGAAAAGAAAAGAAAAAAAGAGAAGAAGAAAGUCUUCUUCUUCUUCUUAGUUUUUGCCAUAGACAACACAUGGGAUCAAGUUGUUAUUGUUGGGAGAAGUUUUGGAGGUACGUUUUAAUUAUUGGUUUCUAUUAAAUUGUUGUGGAGAAGCAUGAUUGUAAUAGAAGUAGAAAUCAAAGAUUUUACAUAAAUAUGCUGACAGCGAAUUAUUACAGAAAUCAUAGUAAUUUGUACAAAUUGAUUUUGAUUCUGAUUUUUGGGUAUGUUAAACUAGACAUCGUCUAGAAUGUUUUGAAACUUGUUUCAAGUUAAUCGGAUAAGAUUUCAAUUAAUUAUGAUUUUUCAAAUUCAAGUCUGAAAACCUGGAAAUUUAUGAUUUCAGUGAAUAACGUGAAUUACGAAAUUAUUUUUACCAUAGUUAGACUUCUUCAAAAAUUAUGAAAUUUGGACCAAUGCUUUUUAUAUAUGUCUAGUAUGAUUCUGGAAAUUUUCAUGAUUUUAUGAUAAAGCAAUAAAUUGUUUUGUAUUUGUAAAGCAAGUGUGUUCAAAACAGAAAACUGUUUGACAGUAUUGAUGAUGUCUGAAACGUGAAUUAUUUUCAAUAGUUUUUGAAGGAAUUAUGUUAUGAAUUAUGCUAAUCUUCUCUGUAUCGUUCCAAUUUUAUUGGAUGGGAAUUGCUCUGAUACCAUUUGAAACACCCCAGUCCGAAAUCCAAGGGCAAAUAUGUCCACAACUCACAUAUGAUUUAAAUAACUCUUUACAACUGAUAAAAUUCGAGCCUCAAAUACAAAAGCCAGCGGAAUAACUUAAAAACUUAACCAAACCAUCUACUAUCCUCAAUUCAAAACCAUCUUCUCACUCAUCACGAAUCAAUCCUGACUUCUGAAAAUUGAAUCACAAUAAACUAUAAUGAGUACAAAACCCAGUAAGCAAACUAGUUUUUCUUAUACGGAAAAUACAUACAGACUUAUACAUAAUGCAAUGGUUGAUAUGUCAUGAUCUUUUGGAAAUACUGUAAAAUAAAUUCAUAAAAAUCUCUUUCUGUCGCUUUCAAACUUUCUUAUUUUCUUUCGAUGAAAUACGUAUCCUACAAUGUGGCACUUUGUGCUGUACGUGGCACUUUGCGGCGCCCUGGCCCUCAAGAGGUGGCCCCCGCAUAGUCCCAAGAGGUGACCCCCACACAACUUCAAGAGGUGGCCCCCAAUGCAAAAUCUCAUAAAACAUAAAUUCUGUUUGCUAAAAUCCACUUUCUCAUUCGUAGAAAACUCAAUGCAUUUUCGUGCUCAUGCCAAUGAACCAUCACACAUACAUAUGCCCAUGUACAUAAUCACGCUCAACACAUGCCAACACAUCACAUAAACACAUGGGCAAAGACAUCUAAAUCCAUAUCCGUAUAUAUAUCAAAAUAUGCUUUUCACACAAGUCAAACAUAUAUAUUGUUUAGUGUGAUUCGUUUUAAAGUCUAGUUUACUUACCUCUUGGCAUCCUCAUGUAACAAAUGCGUACUGAUACCAUUAACCUAAAAUCAUCAAUAACGCCUCAUAAGAUAUAAUCAAAUCUCAAUCACAAACUGUAAUGUCCUCAAAUAUCUCAAUUUAAACAACUCCUAAGCUCAACCUCAAAUGUCCUCAAUAAUCGGCCCUCAAAACAUAAAUCCUUUACAAAUACUCUUUAUCAGUUGUAAAGAGUUAUUUAAAUUAUAUGUGAGUUGUAGACAUAUUUGCCCUUGGAUUUCAGACUGGGGUGUUUCAAAUGGUAUCAGACCGAUUCCCAUCCGAUAAAAUUGGAACGAUACAGAGAAGAUUAGCAUAAUUCGUAACAUAAUUCCUUCAAAAACUAUUGAAAAUAAUUCACGUUUCAGACAUCAUCAAUACUGUCAAACAGUUUUCUGUUUUGAACACACUUGCUUUACAAAUACAAAACAAUUUAUUGCUUUAUCAUAAAAUCAUGAAAAUUUCCAGAAUCAUACUAGACAUAUAUAAAAAGCAUUGGUCCAAAUUUCAUAAUUUUUGAAGAAGUCUAACUAUGGUAAAAAUAAUUUCGUAAUUCACGUUAUUCACUGAAAUCAUAAAUUUCCAGGUUUUCAGACUUGAAUUUGAAAAAUCAUAAUUAAUUGAAAUCUUAUCCGAUUAACUUGAAACAAGUUUCAAAACAUUCUAGACGAUGUCUAGUUUAACAUACCCAAAAAUCAGAAUCAAAAUCAAUUUGUACAAAUUACUAUGAUUUCUGUAAUAAUUCGCUGUCAGCAUAUUUAUGUAAAAUCUUUGAUUUCUACUUCUAUUACAAUCAUGCUUCUCCACAACAAUUUAAUAGAAACCAAUAAUUAAAACGUACCUCCAAAACUUCUCCCAACAAUAACAACUUGAUCCCAUGUGUUGUCUAUGGCAAAAACUAAGAAGAAGAAGAAGACUUUCUUCUUCUCUUUUUUUCUUUUCUUUUCUCUCUUGUCUCUCCAUCUCUCUUUUUCAACCGAUCUCUCUUUUUCUCUCUCUCUUAUAAUGAAAAAGACAUCUUGUUCUAUUUAUACUAGGGUAAAAAGGAUCACUAAAAAUUAAAAAGACUUAAAUACCCUUAGGAGAUUUGGGAUAUUACAAUAACAGACAAAAUAUUGUGCUUAUAUACUUUUCACAAAACUAGACCAAAUCAGUUCCCUUUUUGGUUUGUGAAAACUUGAUAUUUUUGAAAAUUCUAUCCAAUGCUUUCAAACAAUAUUUCCACAAUAUAGUUGUUCAUAGCUAACCUUUGAUGGUGUAAGGAUUUGUUGUAGGCAUAAUGGGCUAAUUAUAUAUAUAUAUAUAUAUAUUUUACCCGCUGAAUGAUAUUCAGCUUCUUAAUUAUGUGUUCAUAGGCAAGAGCAUUUUCUUAAGUACUUUCGUUGCCUUCCAAGUUUCCAAAGAACAAACAGAGCAGAAACAAAUAUAACGGAACAGCAAUGAUGACAAUAAAUGAUUGGCAAAGAAAGAAAGAAAAAAGUUCGCAUGAUUUCAAGGAAUUAUAAUAUCUGAAGACAUUCAACAUGCAAGUGUUGCCCCUUUUAAUGAAAUUUCAUCAUAAAAUGCUUGCAAGGAAUUAUAAAAUUUUAGAGAACAAGCGAAUUCUCAAACAAAAUACUCAAAUUAAAUUAAAUUAGACCAAAAGACAAUCAAUGACGCAAAAUCUUCCCAUAAAAGCCUGAACGAAUCAUGAAAAGUGCAUUCCAUAUUGACAGUAAACCAAGUGACCCAUUCUAAACAAUUGAGAUGAAAUUGUGAAACAACCCACGAGAUCAAAUAAAUAAAAUAAGAAUUAAUUACCAGCUGGGACUUUCUUCUUCAAAUUCGUAACUCCAAGUCAUAAGAAGCCUAUGAAAUUAGUCGUAAUCCACAGAGUAUGACGACGACCCCGCCAACAGCUGAAAAUAAAAUUCUUAUUCAUUAAUUUAAACUAACUUUAUAACAAAUAUCUUAUCGAUAUUUUAUUUAAAAAGAAAAAGCAAAUUUUGUAAAAUUUUUCCAUGGGAGAUAGAGAGUAACAUGUAUAUCCGUACCUUCUCAGCAUGUAAUUGUUGUAUGGUCCUGUUAAGAUCAUUAUUAGCCCAGCGCCGUUGAAAACCCGCUGUCUCUCCAUACCAGACAUUUACUCUAGGAGGCGUGCUUGAUUCUCCUGUAGUGAAAAUCUUCAAUUUGGGACAACCAAUCACCCACAACGCUUGCAAAGAUGGGAAUUUGAAGGUGUAAUUGGCAGAGGAAAAACUUGUGAGGCUAUCUAAAUCACUCAGUUCCAACGUCUUCAAUUUGCGGAAAACAAUCUCUU
rnacentral:lncRNA from 1 species